rnacentral:rRNA from 1 species
UGAGGAAUAUUGGACAAUGGGCGCAAGCCUGAUCCAGCCAUGCCGCGUGCAGGAAGAAGCAUCUAUGGUGUGUAAACUGCUUUUGUACGGGAAGAAACACUCCUUCGUGAAGGAGCUUGACGGUACCGUAAGAAUAAGGAUCGGCUAACUCCGUGCCAGCAGCCGCGGUAAUACGGAGGAUCCAAGCGUUAUCCGGAAUCAUUGGGUUUAAAGGGUCCGUAGGCGGUUUAGUAAGUCAGUGGUGAAAGCCCAUCGCCCAACGAUGGAACGGCCAUUGAUACUGCUAGACUUGAAUUAUUAGGAAGUAACUAGAAUAUGUAGUGUAGCGGUGAAAUGCUUAGAUAUUACAUGGAAUACCAAGUGAGAAGGCAGGUUACUACUUGUGGAUUGACGCUGAUGGACGAAAGCGUGGGGGGCGAACA